rnacentral:rRNA from 1 species
GACGAACGCUGGCGGCGCGCCUAACACAUGCAAGUCGAACGAGCGAGAGAGAGCUUGCUUUCUCGAGCGAGUGGCGAACGGGUGAGUAACGCGUGAGGAACCUGCCUCAAAGAGGGGGACAACAGUUGGAAACGACUGCUAAUACCGCAUAAGCCCACGACCCGGCAUCGGGUAGAGGGAAAAGGAGCAAUCCGCUUUGAGAUGGCCUCGCGUCCGAUUAGCUAGUUGGUGAGGUAACGGCCCACCAAGGCGACGAUCGGUAGCCGGACUGAGAGGUUGAACGGCCACAGUGGGACUGAGACACGGCCCAGAAUCCUACGGGAGGCAGCAGUGGGGAAUAUUGCACAAUGGGGGAAACCCUGAUGCAGCGACGCCGCGUGGAGGAAGAAGGUCUUCGGAUUGUAAACUCCUGUUGUUGAGGAAGAUAAUGACGGUACUCAACAAGGAAGUGACGGCUAACUACGUG